rnacentral:rRNA from 1 species
UACGUAGGCAGCGAGCGUUGUUCGGAGUUACUGGGCGUAAAGGGUGUGUAGGCGGUUGUUUAAGUUUGGUGUGAAAUCUCCCGGCUCAACUGGGAGGGUGCGCCGAAUACUGAAUGACUUGGAGUGCGGGAGAGGAAAGUGGAAUUCCUGGUGUAGCGGUGAAAUGCGUAGGUAUCAGGAGGAACACCGGUGGUGUAGACGGCUUUCUGGACCGUAACUGACGCUGAGACACGAAAGCGUGGGUAGCAAACAGG